GUCCCUGUAGCGCAAUGGAUAGCGCGUUGGAAUUCUAAUCCAAAGGUCUCGAAUCCUACCUGGGGUG